GGCUAAUGAUGAGGGUUAAAAGCGCUUAUUGAUGAUGAACCUCUACCUACUGAAGAGC
rnacentral:ncRNA from 18 species